rnacentral:rRNA from 1 species
AUUGAACGCUGGCGGCAUGCCUUACACAUGCAAGUCGAACGGUAACAGGUCUUCGGAUGCUGACGAGUGGCGAACGGGUGAGUAAUACAUCGGAACGUGCCUAGUAGUGGGGGAUAACUACUCGAAAGAGUGGCUAAUACCGCAUGAGAUCUACGGAUGAAAGCAGGGGACCGCAAGGCCUUGUGCGGACGGAGCGGCCGAUGGCAGAUUAGGUAGUUGGUGGGAUAAAAGCUUACCAAGCCGACGAUCAGUAGUGGGUCUGAGAGGACGACCAGCCACACUGGGACUGAGACACGGCCCAGACUCCUACGGGAGGCAGCAGUGGGGAAUUUUGGACAAUGGGUGAAAGCCUGAUCCAGCCAUGCCGCGUGCAGGAUGAAGGCCUUCGGGUUGUAAACUGCUGUUGUACGGAACGAAAAGCCUCUUUCUAAUAAAGAGAGGUCAUGACGGUACCGUAAGAAUAAGCACCGGCUAACUACGUGCCAGCCGCCGCGGUAACAC